GGGCGGGGCUGACUCCGUACUUCUCUUGGCUUUUUUUCUGCUUUACUUGAGCCCCGCCUAUCGGGGAAAGCCCUGGGCGGAGUCAGAUUUCUCCCUGAGGAUGUUUGACGUGGCGUAGGAGUAGAUAGAAAGGUGUCCACUAACCCCACCCCCCAAAAAAAAAAAAAAAAGGGGAAUCGAAUCAAGUUCUAGGCAACUUUUUAAACCAAAAGUUUCAGAGAAGAUUUCUACCUGCAUUGGUGGAAGGAGCGCCUCCUACGGGAGUUUCCUAUAUCAAUGAGAUCCUGGGUCCAGUCUCUGACCUCGAUUAAUGCAGGAGGUGGGGCCUCAGAGUCUAUCCAAGUGCAUCCUCCUCAUUUUACAGAUGGGGAAACAGAUUGAGCGAGGUUGUGAUUUAUCACGCAGGUGAAGGAGACAGAACGAUCCUGUGAAAUUUGAAAGGUUGGAGGAGCCACACUGGAUUUUGUGUGAGAAGACUUUAUGACAAAGACCGUUGUGGCUACCUUAGCCAAGCUACAAAAAAUACCAACACAACUCUGAGAAGUGAACUUUGGAAGUCUGUCCAAAUCAACCUGGCAGCUGAGAAAAGAAGAGAGGAGAGAACAUGGAGGUAACUAAUGUAGACGGCUUUCUUUAGAAGUUUAACCAAGAAAUGGAGGAACUUUUAAG
rnacentral:lncRNA from 1 species